GGAUAUGAGGGCGAUCUGGCUGUGACAUCUGUCACCCCAGUUAUCACCAGGGUUGAUUUGGCUGACUAGGCUAGGUGCGUGUCCCCUUCCUCCCUCACUGGUCCAUAUGUGUCCCUCCUGAAGCUGCUCCACCUUCCCUAAUAGAGAUGAACUGGUCUUCGGUAGCUGUGCUCCCCUACUAGAACCUCCAAACAAGCUCCUUUUUUUUUCCCUCCAGACCACUGCUCAGCUGUGGUUUACGGUGGUGCGGGGGACUGAACCUUGGACCUCAGAGGCUCAGGCAUGAGCCUUUUUGC
ensembl:misc_RNA 7SK 7SK RNA